GCCCCGAGCGAUCGGGGCACCGGCGGACGGGUGCGUAACGCGUACACAACGUGCCUCUGACAGGGGGACAGCACCGGGAAACUGGUGGUAAUACCCCAUGAGAUCGCGGGCCGGCAUUGGCCUGCGAUGAAAGUUUCGGCGGUCAGAGAUCGGUGUGCGUCUGAUUAGCUAGUUGGCGGGGUAACGGCCCACCAAGGCGACGAUCAGUAGGGGGUGUGAGAGCACGGCCCCCCACAUGGGUACUGAGACACGGACCCAACUCCUACGGGAGGCAGCAGUAAGGAAUAUUGGACAAUGGCCGGAAGGCUGAUCCAGCCAUGCCGCGUGCAGGAAGAAGGCGCUCAGCGUUGUAAACUGCUUUUGGGCGGGAAUAAUGAUCCCGAUGUAUCGGGACUUGAAGGUACCGCCAGAAUAAGCACCGGCUAACUCCGUGCCAGCAGCCGCGGUAAUACGGAGGGUGCGAGCGUUAUCCGGAAUCACUGGGUUUAAAGGGUGCGUAGGCGGCGGGGUAAGUCAGUUGUGAAAUCUCUUGGCUCAACCAAUGAAAUUGCGAUUGAUACUGCCCUGCUUGAGACAGGUUGAGGUGGGCGGAAUGUGGCAUGUAGCGGUGAAAUGCAUAGAUAUGCCAUAGAACACCGAUUGCGAAGGCAGCCUGCUGGGCCUGAUUUGACGCUGAGGCACGAAAGCGUGGGGAGCAAACAGGAUUAGAUACCCUGGUAGUCCACGCCCUAAACGAUGUUUACUUGCUGUUCCUGCCUUGAGCGGGAGUGGCGCAGCGAAA
rnacentral:rRNA from 1 species